rnacentral:rRNA from 1 species
AGACCGAUAGCGAACAAGUACCGUGAGGGAAAGAUGAAAAGAACUUUGAAAAGAGAGUUAAACAGUAUGUGAAAUUGCUAAAAGGGAACCGUUUGAAGUCAGUCUGGCUGGUCUGCAAUCAGCUUCAACUUUGGUUGGAGUGCACUUGUAGGCCAUUUUGCCUGCCAACAACAGUUUGUUCUGCAGCAAAAAGGUGUUGAGAAUGUAGCUUUCUCUUUGGAGGAAGUGUUAUAGCUCUUCGCGAAAUACUGUGGUUCAGACUGAGGCUUGCAGUGAAUGCUAUUUUGGCUUUGGGGAUGGAUUGCUCAGUGCUUUGCUUGGUUAGUUUCGGCCGUCAAACGUCGUGCUGGCUAAAUAAAGUCUGACUCGGUUCAUUCACUUUUAAUUCACUUUGGUUGUUGGCUUAAUGACUUAAACGUCUUGAAACACGGACCAAG